rnacentral:rRNA from 1 species
CCUACGGGUGGCAGCAGUGAGGAAUCUUGGUCAAUGGACGCAAGUCUGAACCAGCCAUGCCGCGUGCAGGAAGACGGCUCUAUGAGUUGUAAACUGCUUUUGUACGAGGGUAAACGCAGAUACGCGUAUCUGUCUGAAAGUAUCGUACGAAUAAGGAUCGGCUAACUACGUGCCAGCAGCCGCGGUAAUACGGAGGAUUCAAGCGUUAUCCGGAUUUAAUGGGUUUAAAGGGUGCGUAGGCGGUCGGAUAAGUUAGAGGUGAAGUCCCGAGGCUCAACUUCGGAAUUGCCUCGGAUACUGUGCGGCUAGAGAGUAGUUGCGGUAGGCGGAAUGUAUGGUGUAGCGGUGAAAUGCUUAGAGAUCAUACAGAACACCGAUUGCGAAGGCAGCUUACCAAGCUACUUCUGACGUUGAGGCACGAAAGCGUGGGGAGCAAACAGGAUUAGAUACCCCUGUAGUC